AUUCUCCAGAUUCCUUAAACAUCAGAUCUAUACAUUGGCCUAUGUGGCUAUAAAAGGAACAAGAGUAAAACUGAAGUGAACUUACAUUCUUUAGCUACAUAUAAGUUCUUGUCCAAACAAAC
rnacentral:snoRNA from 1 species